GCCAGAUACUUAACAUAGCUGUUUAGGGAAAUAUGAAGAAGACAAAAAGGGAAGAACUAUUAUUAAAAUUCUUGUUUAAAAACAAAUACAGACCAGGUGCAGUGGUGCACACCUGUCAUCCCAGUGACUCAGGAGGCUGAGCUAACAAUACGCAACUUCCAUACAGCUGUAACAUCCCUUGAUAAACCUUGUUCUUCUUGUUCAGCAGAUGCCAUGGCCUUCCUGAAUUCCAACUGUAUCUGUGCUUGUUUCUUAUCAUUCAACAUCUGUCUGUGAUUAUUCAAAGCUCUUAACUGCUCUUCACUGAAAUAACCCUGUAACCAUUUAAAAUAUUGAAAUAAAAAAAGGCAAACAAAACAUAA